rnacentral:lncRNA from 1 species
UGCCAACCUUAAAAGCCUGUGGCAGGCCAUGAAACAUUUAUAAAAUGUGACAAUAACUGCUAUUCUUGGUAAUAAUGUCUAAGUCAUUUGAUAUUUUGCAUUUGCUUUUUUCUUAAAAUCUCCAGAAUUCCAAAAGUCAAAAAGCACCAUUAUGGCAGACACACACACACACACACACACACACACGCACACACACUAAAAUAACACCUUUCAAGGACUUCUUUUAUGGCUUCUCAAGAGAAAAAAGAUUUCUGUUGCUUAAGAACACAAUGCUGACUGAACAAAAAACAAAACAAAUCAAAACCAAGAAACAUUAACAACAGAAAGAUGAGGACCAUUUGUUUUUGUAAGGAAAAUGCAAGGGACAGAACCUUGGAACCCUUUUGCAUAACUUGUUUCUCCUGAUUUUCCUAGCGACAGAGUGAAUGCAGCUGCAACUACCAAGCCAAAACUUGUGGUUUCUUUGAGUCAAAGCCCAGCUCUCAGCAAAUUGAUUUUGGUUUCAACUAAUUGCCUGACGUUGGAGGCACAAAAAGCUUCUGUAGAGAAAGAAGCCAAUGGAAAAAUGAAGAAUGCCUUAUGGUCAGGCGCGGUGGCUCAUGUCUGUAAUCCCAGCACUUUGGGAGGCGAACGAGGGCAGAUCAUGAGGUCAGGAGUUCAAGACCAGCCCUGCCAAUAUGGUGAAACCCCGCCUCUACUAAAAAAUAAAAAAUACAAAAAUUAGCUGGGCAUGGUGGUACGCACCUGUAAUCCAAGCUACUCAGGAAGCUGAGGCAGAAGAGUUGCUUGAACCUAAGAGGCAGAGGCUACAGUGAACCGAGAUUAUGCCACUGCAGUCCAGCCUGGGUGACAAAGCGAGACUCUGUCCCCCCCAAAAAAAAGAAAAAAAAAGCUUUAUUUAUUGCCUCAAUGCUCAAUGUUUCAUUAUAUUUUCUAUUUUCUUUUACGUUAUUAUUUUUGUUUUUCCAUAAGUUAUUUGGGUACAGGUGGUAUUUGGUUACAUGAGUAAGUCCUUUAGUGGUGAUUUGUGAAAUUUUGGUGCACCCAUCACUUGAUCAGUAUACGCUGCACCACAUUUGUAGUCUUUUAUCCGUCACCCCCUUCCCACUCUUCACGGCAAGUCCCCAAAGUCUAUUCUAUCAUUUUUAUGCCUUUUCAUCCUCAUAGCUUAGCUCCCAUGUAUCAGCGAGAACAUACGAUGUUUGGUUUUGCAUUCUUGAGUUAUCACAGUUUCUUUAUCCUCUUGUUGACUGAUGGGCAUUUGGGUUGAUUCCAUGAUUUCUCAAUUGUGAAUUGUACUCCUAUAAAUAUGUGUAUGCAAGUUUCUUUCUCGAAUAAUGACUUCUUUUCCUCUGGAUAGAUACUCAGUAGUGGGAUUGCUGGAUCAAAUAGUAGUUCUACUUUUAGUUCUUUAAGGAAUCUUCACAUUGUUUUCCAUAGCAGCUGGAAUAGUUUACAUUCCCACCAGCAGUGUAGAAGUAUUCCCUAUUCAUCAUAUCCACGCCAACAUCUACUGUUUUAUGAUAUUUUCAUUAUGGCCAUUCUUGCAGGAGUGAGGUGGCAUCCCAUUGUGGUUUUGAUUUGCAUUUCCCUGAUCGUUAGUGAUAUUGAGCAUUUAUUCUUCUACUUGUUGGUCAUUUGUAUAUAUUCUUUCUAGAAUUGUCUAUUCACGUCCUUAGCUCACUUUUUGAUGGGAUUGUUUUUCUCUUACUGAUUUGAGUUCAUUGUAGAUUCUGGAUAUUAAUCCUUUGUUAGAUGGAUAGAUUGUGAAGAUUUUCUCCUACCCUUUGGGUUGUCUGUUUACUCUGCUGACUGUUCCUUUUGCUGUGCAAAAGCUCUUUAGUAUAACUGAGUUUAUCUUUGUUUCUAUUGCAUUUCCUUUUGUGAUCUUCGUCAUGAAAUCCUUGCCUAAGCCAAUGUCUAGAAGGAUUUUUCCAACGUUAUCUUCUAGAAUGUUUAAAGUUUCAGGUCUUAGGUUUAAGUUUUUAAUCCAUUUUGUGUUGACUUUUUUAUAAGUUG